GCUCUCAAGGAGCGCUGCAGUGCCACCCCCACACGCUGGUGUCGGGGCUGGCGUCAGGCUUGAGAGCUCGGGCGUCCACCGCCCCGCCGGCUUGCCCGGCCCCAACGGCGCUCACCAGUU
rnacentral:ncRNA from 2 species